GGCUGUUCUUAAAACUUUAAUUUGAGCAUCUUUGGGUAAAAAAUUGGAGCAGUCUAAUUAAAAUCUUACUCACCUUCGUUCAACUUUGGAAGAAACCUGAGGGCUUUACUGUGCUGCUGAAAACCUGUGAUUGACUUUCUUUCUCUGAAGGUGAUGAGCAGCUCCUCUUUUCCCCGGUAAAAUGGAGCUGAGGUGCUCUCCAGGGCCAUCCACUCGUUAGAUGGAGAUGGGGCGCUGCCUGCUUCCCGGGAUCCCCAGCUCCCGAUCAAGAACCCUGCCCCCAGCUCCAGCCGAGCAGGCUCCAUGCAGUCAGCCUGUCCUUCCAGCUGGGAGCAGAGUGGGGUUAGGAAGGGGACGCCCACCCCAGACCCGUGUGGCCUAAGCCUGCCCAUGGCCCUUGCCUGGGAGCCCUUGGUCACCCUUUCUGGGUGCUCCACCUGUUGCUGCCCAGAUGUUCUGGGUUCCUUAGUGCGCCGAGCUCGCGUCCUCUGGGCCCUGCACUCUGUGCUUCCAAAGAGCUCCUUCCAUGAGGUGUCUUGACCAAGGGUGGGCUGGGCCACUGGGAGGGAGGUUGCCAGUACAUCUCAAACCUUGCUAAGUUCC
rnacentral:lncRNA from 1 species